rnacentral:lncRNA from 1 species
AGCGCGCUUCUCACUUCCCUCCAGUCCUCUCAACCAAGAACAAGGCAGAGUGGAACGGAGGACAGUGCCUGGCAGAUAGAAAGCAGAUAUAAAGUCAAGUCUCGAGUCUGUUCCACAUGGCCGCAGAUAGUGUUCCAAACAGCAAAGACUCUAGAGAAGAAAAAUACCAUCAAGUCAUUUAGUCAGCUGGACGGCAGGACCGGGUGUCUUGGAAGUCCUAGCCCUGAGGAAGAUUUGAGGUUAUGCAGCUUUCAAGAGGAAGAUGUUUCAGGAUACUUACUUCUGAUCUCAUGGCGGGGCAUCACACCAGACCCAUUACAUGCAUGCUGGGAGAACAGAGCAACCUUCAAUCCCUAUACACGGGCUACUUAACCCUCUUGGUCUCCUCUUUCUGGCAGAAGGAGCACAGAGCAGCCAGGCGUGAGCUGUGAGAAGAUGAGGCAUCUGCAGAUGAAGUUCUGAUGCACCCACUCAUGGAGGCCAAGCUAUCCCUCCUGCAAGUCCUGCCCCGAUAAGGCUUCUCCCACCGGCUUCCCAUGGGCUUUCUGAGACUGUUUUCCAGAUGGGCUCAGGGGUCCCUCAAAUGAGGCAGCGUGGGGGAAAGACUGAAAGAACUCCGCAGGGUCACACAGAGUGCCUAGAGACCAAGGCACCAGCAUAAAGGCUACAUUUGUGAGGAGCAACAGAAAGACAGCCAAGCACUGAGGAGCAGGUGGAAGACCUGCUGGUCGUCUAACCUAUUGAUGACCCUCGAUGUGUUUAAAGAGGAAAAGAAGAUGCAUAUGAAGUCCCUGAGGAUCCUGGGAAAAAGUUGGAUGCUCUAGGAGUGGCCAGAGAGAAUACAGGAUGCACUUGGAACAUUUUGUACCAGAAAGCAAAAGAGAACCCCAAGAUUGAUAGAGCCAUGGCCAAAAGACCUACAUAGGAGCCAAUUCAAACUGCUCACACUGGCCAGACCUGGUGACCUGCGCAUCAAAAGCUAUGAUACUGACAGGGGAUGGGGAAGGGGCCCAAAGCUGCAUCAUUCAGUAAUAAUGUUCAUGAAAGAACAGAGGGCUAAGGAAAGUGUUUCUUUACAAGAAUUCUAGGUGAUACAUACAGAGUGGUUCUAUAAUACAAAACCUUAAUUUUCUAACCCACAGUAUUAUCAUUGGCAUAAGCAGGAGUCGUUAAUAGACGAUAGAGUCAGUAGGUGAAGAUUAAAAAGAUGUCUAUACAGGGACAGAGUGUUGCCCCACAAACUGCUUAUUAAUUAAAAGUGGAAAGUAUAUCUAGUGAUCCGCUAUCUUAAGUGAUCAAAUUUACCAUCAUCACUAGGGGAGGCAAUGCUUUCCGAUGCUCCCUACAUUAUAUAUUGUGGACUAUACAAAUAAGGCACGUGAAGUGUUUUCUCCA